AAGAAACCGGCCGGGUUAAUACCCUGGUUGAAUGACGGUACCCAAAGAAUAAGCACGGCUAAUUCGUGCCAGCAGCCGCGGUAAUACGAAGGGUGCAAGCGUUACUCGGAAUUACUGGGCGUAAAGCGUGCGUAGGCGGUUUGUUAAGUCUGCUGUGAAAGCCCUGGGCUCAACCUGGGAACUGCAGUGGAUACUGGCGAGCUAGAGUGUGUCAGAGGAUGGUGGAAUUCCCGGUGUAGCGGUGAAAUGCGUAGAGAUCGGGAGGAACACCAGUGGCGAAGGCGGCCAUCUGGGACAACACUGACGCUGAGGCACGAAAGCGUGGGGAGCAAACAGGAUUAGAUACCCUGGUAGUCCACGCCCUAAACGAUGCGAACUGGACGUUGGGCACACUUAGGUGCUCAGUGUCGAAGCUAACGCGUUAAGUUCGCCGCCUGGGGAGUACGGUCGCAAGACUGAAACUCAAAGGAAUUGACGGGGGC
rnacentral:rRNA from 1 species